rnacentral:rRNA from 1 species
ACUCCUACGGGAGGCAGCAGUCGAGAAUCUUCCGCAAUGGGCGAAAGCCUGACGGAGCGACACCGCGUGCAGGACGAAGGCCUUCGGGUUGUAAACUGCUGUCACGCUCUAGGAAUGCCAUGUCGUUAAUAGCGGCAUGGUUGACCAAGGCGAGAGGAAGUGGCGGCUAGCUCUGUGCCAGCAGCCGCGGUAAGACAGAGGCCACGAACGUUGUUCGGAAUCACUGGGCAUAAAGCGCACGUAGGCGGCUGGGUCCGUCCGAUGUGAAAGCCCCCGGCUCAACCGGGGAAUUGCAUCGGAUACAGCCCGGCUUGAGGACGGUUGGGGUGAGUGGAACUCCU